ensembl:lncRNA
GUCAUAAAAUCAUAUGAAAUUCUUUCCCUCACAUCUAUAAAAGCAUGGAAAUAUAGGCCUAUUCAAACUGACUGAAUGUCAAAAGUAGCAGAAUGUGGAUCUUGUAAUGUUACAUUAAUGUUUGUCAACAGUGUUAUAGCCUUUUGGACGAUUAGAUUUAAGUAAUUUCACAAUGGACUAUAAACAGGAAGUUUACACCUUUAUGGCAGAAGUCUUGUUUGCAGUUGACAGACACACACUGGCAGGGUUUCUAGCUGAUCCUUAGCAAUCCUUGCAUGGCAUUUAGAAAAGAAAUGACGGCUUCUGCCCGGCCUUUGCAGGGCGCCUGUGUGCGAGUGAAGACGAGUGAUGGAGAUGAACUAUCUUUGCUGAAAAGGUUGGCGGAUGUGCAUCAGCAUGGAAAAACAAUCCAGGUUAUGUAUCCGCGCCUCCUCCACAUGCUAGAAAACACCAUCUUCUGUAUAUGUUGCAUGAAAUGCCGUCUUUUUCCUUGAAUAAAACCGAGUUGGGGUGG